CCAGGCGGUCUACUUAUCGCGUUAGCUGCGCCACUAAAGCCUCAAAGGCCCCAACGGCUAGUAGACAUCGUUUACGGCAUGGACUACCAGGGUAUCUAAUCCUGUUUGCUCCCCAUGCUUUCGCACCUCAGCGUCAGUGUUAGGCCAGAUGGCUGCCUUCGCCAUCGGUAUUCCUCCAGAUCUCUACGCAUUUCACCGCUACACCUGGAAUUCUACCAUCCUCUCCCACACUCUAGCUAACCAGUAUCGAAUGCAAUUCCCAAGUUAAGCUCGGGGAUUUCACAUUUGACUUAAUUAGCCGCCUACGCGCGCUUUACGCCCAGUAAAUCCGAUUAACGCUUGCACCCUCUGUAUUACCGCGGCUGCUGGCACAGAGUUAGCCGGUGCUUAUUCUGCGAGUAACGUCCACUAUCUGAAGGUAUUAACUUCAGUAGCCUCCUCCUCGCUUAAAGUGCUUUACAACCAUAAGGCCUUCUUCACACACGCGGCAUGGCUGGAUCAGGCUUGCGCCCAUUGUCCAAUAUUCCCCACUGCUGCCUCCCGUAGGAGUCUGGGCCGUGUCUCAGUCCCAGUGUGGCGGAUCAUCCUCUCAGACCCGCUACAGAUCGUCGCCUUGGUAGGCCUUUACCCCACCAACUAGCUAAUCCGACUUAGGCUCAUCUAUUAGCGCAAGGUCCGAAGAUCCCCUGCUUUCUCCCGUAGGACGUAUGCGGUAUUAGCAUUCCUUUCGAAAUGUUGUCCCCCACUAAUAGGCAGAUUCCUAAGCAUUACUCACCCGUCCGCCGCUAAGUGAUAGUGCAAGCACCAUCACUCCGCUC
rnacentral:rRNA from 1 species